CUGAGAACGGUCGAGGUUCCUGCCCCGCUCGAAACUGCCGGCAAAGCCCGCUGUGUGGAGCUCAGUGCGGCCUUGGAGACAGGCACCUGGCCUCUGCAGGUGCGGCGCGGAGGCAGCAGGCGGCCCCUGGAAGAGCAGCGGGAAGGCAGAGGCGCCUUCCACGGCCGCUCGUGCGCUCCCGGCAGGGCCCAGCCAGGCCUGGGCGGGAGGGGAGGAGGCGCAGACCUUGCUCCGGGCCCAAUGACACUGACCUUCCUAAGGGCAGGUCAUGCCCAACGUGAGGCUGGCGCCCUGCGGAAGUCCCCAGUAAACUAGAGCGCUGCUGUGGUGCCGGCCGGAAGCCCUCGCCCUGGAACGCGCGUUUGUUUUGCCACGCGUGGACACGACCUCCCUGGGCAGAUGCCUUCCGCGUGUCAAGGGUGUUCGCCUCCUCCUGGAUGAUUGCUGAGACGGAGGAACAAGCUGGGCAAGCAGCGGCAGCCGGGCUGACAACUGCUGCUUAGGAGUCUAAGACAUGAUCCCUGCUCCUGAGGAGCUCAGCUGGGGAGACGGCACUGCCAGGUAGGCGACUGGCAGGCCAGGCAGGUCGUGUGCGACCCAGGUCUUCAGGAGUUCGGGAAGGGGACGCAGGGCAGCCAGGGCGUGGCUCCCGGAGGCUUCCCUGGACGAAGGCAGGCUCUCGUGCUCUGGCUCCUACGCUGGCUCCCCUCACAGACCCUGAUGCCCCUUCCCAACUCCUGGAAGUUCGUCGAGCAUUGGCAAGAAGUGAGGACAUGGGGCUCAGUAGCCAGCUUCUCGUGCGUCACGUCAAGAUGCCCAGGGAUAUUUCUGCAGAUGAUGAUUUCCUGAUUCCUCUGCCAAAUUUUCUUGCACUCUGAAGACCCUGUCCGUUUCCCGAAUGCGGCUGGAAGGGCCUCCUGCGUGAGGGGGCACUGCUGCUGCAGCAGACGCCGGGCUGGGGAAGAGGAAGCCACAGGAGGUGGCACGGCCAGAGGAGGAAGACUGCGGAAGCCAUUUAACUUAGUGUCUCGUCCUCAGAGAAACAGGGAAUCCCCGAAAAGUUUUAAAGAAGAGAGUGGCACAAUCCAAAUUGCAUUUUAGAAAGACGUCCAGGCUGAGGUGUGGACGGCCUGUCGGAGGCAGGGAGCCUGACUGGAAGGCUGGCGAGACAAUCAAGGAGGGACACAGUGGAAGCAUCGGACCUGGGUGGGGGCCGUGGUGCUGGGGAGGCCUGGGAAGAUUUGAGGGAGACUGGGAGCAACAUCUGACAAGCCCUCAUGGUGGACGGGGUGCAGCACCUGGAGGACAGUCCAGCUUUGCUCCUGGGCCCGAUGAUCUCCUCAGAAGGGGCCCCAGGUCCUGAGCGAUCAAAGUCAGCAGAGGUGACACCAUCGCUCCUCGUAGCCAGUCACCCUCCCUCCCCAGUUCUUCCUCUCUGUGGCUUCUCUUCCUUCUUGUUCAGUAUCUGUCUUGUCUUUGGAUUUUUUAAAAAGCUGUCAUUCAAAUUAUGGUUUUCUACUGCAAUACACAAGCACCUCCCAGAGACAACUCUGCCCAUGGCAAAGCCCAUGGCAAAGCCUGCAUCUCAUCAUAAAAGAUUGGGGUUUUCUAAGCACAGGUUUCCUCAUCUAUGACGCCAGCCCAUUGCUCAUGUGGCAUCCAUCUGGGCAUCUCUGCUGUCCCUGUGGGACUUGAGGCUCAAGGAGAAGCCAGUGUGAAAGCAUGAAGCUCACGCUGCUUUCUGUGCUGUGAAUAAUAAAGCCCUCUGUCUCUGACCCAGGAGCCUUUGUCUUCUUCCAGCAUUCACAAAACUGCGGUGGGCUGGCUAGUUGGCUUGUAAGGAGGGUAAACUCCCAGCUCCUUCAUAGCUCUGAAACUCUCAU